UACGUAGGGUGCGAGCGUUGUCCGGAAUUAUUGGGCGUAAAGAGCUCGUAGGCGGUCUGUCGCGUCUGCUGUGAAAACCCGAGGCUCAACCUCGGGCCUGCAGUGGGUACGGGCAGACUAGAGUGCGGUAGGGGAGAAUGGAACUCCUGGUGUAGCGGUGGAAUGCGCAGAUAUCAGGAAGAACACCGAUGGCGAAGGCAGUUCUCUGGGCCGUAACUGACGCUGAGGAGCGAAAGCUCGGGGAGCGAACGGG
rnacentral:rRNA from 1 species